rnacentral:misc_RNA from 1 species
GAUGAAAGAACUUAGCGAAAUGCGAUAAGUAGUGUGAAUUGCAGAAUUCAGUGAAUCAUCGAAUCUUUGAACGCACAUUGCGCCCCUUGGUAUUCCAUGGGGCAUGCCUGUUCGAGCGUCAUCUACACCCUCAAGCACUGCUUGGUGAUGGGCGUCUGUCCCGCCUCCGCGCGCGGACUCGCCCCAAAGGCAUUGGCAGCGGUCCUGACCGCCUCUCGCGCAGCACAUUUGCGCUUCUCGAGGCAUCGGAGGCCUGCGUCCACGAAGCCCAUCUUUAUUUUUUUGACCUCGGAUCAGGAAGGGAUACCCGCUGAACUUAAGCAUAUCAAUAAGCGGAGGA